UCAGGUCUCCAAGGUGAACAACCUCUGGUCAAUAGAAUAAUGUAGGUAAGGGAAGUUGACAAAAUGGAUCCGUAACUUCGGGAAAAGGAUUGGCUCUGAGGGAUGGGCCUAGGGGUCUGCGUCCUCAACCCGUGGGCUGUCGGCAGUCUGCCCGAGCUACUAUCGCGGCGAGGGUGGGCAGUUGCGUGUCGAUUGAGCUACGGACGUAGAAUGUCCUCUUGUGGGGGAUUUUCCCUAGGUAGCAAAUAGUCAACUCAGAACUGGUACGGACAAGGGGAAUCUGACUAUUUAAUUAAAACAAAGCAUUGUGAUGGUCCCUGUGGAUGCUGACGCAAUGUGAUUUCUGCCCAGUGCUCUGAAUGUCAAAGUGAAGAAAUUCAACCAAACGCGGGUAAACGGCGGGAGUAACUAUGACUCUCUUAAGGUAGCCAAAUGCCUCGUCAUCUAAAUAGUGACGUGCAUGAAUGGAUUAACGAGAUUCCCAUUGUCCCUAUCUACUAUCUAGAGAAACCACAACCAAGGGAACGGGCUUGGCGGAAUCAGCGGGGAAAGAAGACCCUGUUGAUCUUGACUCUAGUCCGACUUUGUGAAAUGACUUGAGAGGUGUAGAAUAAGUGGGAGCCGUUUUCGGCACAAGUGAAAUACCACUAAUUUUAACGUUAUUUUACUUAUUCCGUGGGGCAGAGAUGGGGCAUUGCCCCUAUUUUUGGCCUUUAGACACGUUUCGAUGGGUCGAUCCGGGCGAAAGACAUUGUCAGGUGGGGAUUUUGGUUGGGGCGACACAUCUAUUAAAAGAUAACGCAGGUGUCCUAAGAUGAGCUCAACGAGAACAUAAAUCUCGUGUGGAACAAAAGGGUAAAAGCUCAUUUGAUUUUGAUUUUCAGUACGAAUACAAACCGUGAAAGCGUGGCCUAUCGGUCCUUUAGACUUUCGGAAUUUGAAGCUAGAGGUGUCAGAAAAGUUAGCACAGGGAUAACUGGCUUGUGGCAGCCAAGCGUUCAUAACGACGCUUCUUUUUUAUCCUUCGAUGUCGGUUCUUCCUAUCAUUGUGAAGCAGAAUUCACCAAGUGUUGGAUUGUUCACCCACCAAUAGGGAAUGUGAUUUGGGUUUAGACCGUCGUGAGAUAGGUUAGUUUUACCCUACUGAUGAACCGUGCCGCAAUAGUAAUUCAACUUAGUACGAGAGGAACAGUUGGUUCACACAAUUGGUCAUCGUGCUUGGUUGAAAAUCCAGUGGCGCGAAGCUACCGUGUGUCGGAUUAUGACUGAACGCCUCUAAGUCAGAAUCCACGCUAGAAGCAACGCUUGUCACUCCUCGACUAUAUCUUGACCCGUAGUAGGGUUGUCGCUUCGGCACCCCUAGGGGCCCGUGUCACUUGCGAACCUCGGCCGGGAAGCGUCUCGGUCGGGGCAACUUUGAAGUUCAAUUUCAAACGGUCGUUGAGAAGAAUCCUUUGCAGACGAUUUAAAUACAUGACGUGGUAUUGUAAGUGGCAGAGUGGCCUUGCUUCAAUGAUCCACUGAGAUUUAUCCCUUCGUCACCUCGAGUCAG
rnacentral:ncRNA from 1 species